rnacentral:rRNA from 1 species
UCAUAUGCUUGUCUCAAAGAUUAAGCCAUGCAUGUCUAAGUAUAAGCGAUUAUACGGCGAAACUGCGAAUGGCUCAUUAUAUAAGUUAUCGUUUAUUUGAUAGUACCUUACUACUUGGAUAACCGUGGUAAUUCUAGAGCUAAUACAUGCUGAAAAUCCCGACUCCGGAAGGGAUGUAUUUAUUAGAUUCAAAACCAAUGCCCCCCGGGCUCACUGGUGAUUCAUGAUAACUGCUCGAAUCGCACGGCCUUGCGCCGGCGAUGGUUCAUUCAAAUUUCUUCCCUAUCAACUUUCGAUGUUUGGGUAGUGGCCAAACAUGGUUGCAACGGGUAACGGAGGGUUAGGGCUCGACCCCGGAGAAGGAGCCUGAGAAACGGCUACUACAUCCAAGGAAGGCAGCAGGCGCGCAAAUUACCCAAUCCCGACGCGGGGAGGUAGUGACAAUAAAUACUGAUACAGGGCUCUUUUGGGUCUUGUAAUUGGAAUGAGCACAAUUUAAAUCCCUUAACGAGGAACAAUUGGAGGGCAAGUCUGGUGCCAGCAGCCGCGGUAAUUCCAGCUCCAAUAGCGUAUAUUAAAGUUGUUGUGGUUAAAAAGCUCGUAGUUGAACCUUGGGCCUGGCUGGCCGGUCCGCCUCACCGCGUGCACUGGUCCGGCCGGGCCUUUCCCUCUGUGGAACCCCAUGCCCUUCGCUGGGUGUGGCGGGGAAACAGGACUUUUACUUUGAAAAAAUUAGAGUGCUCCAGGCAGGCCUAUGCUCGAAUACAUUAGCAUGGAAUAAUGAAAUAGGACGCGCGGUUCUAUUUUGUUGGUUUCUAGGACCGCCGUAAUGAUUAAUAGGGACAGUCGGGGGCAUCAGUAUUCAAUUGUCAGAGGUGAAAUUCUUGGAUUUAUUGAAGACUAACUACUGCGAAAGCAUUUGCCAAGGAUGUUUUCAUUAAUCAGGAACGAAAGUUAGGGGAUCGAAGACGAUCAGAUACCGUCGUAGUCUUAACCAUAAACUAUGCCGACUAGGGAUCGGACGAUGUUAUUCUUUUGACUCGUUCGGCACCUUACGAGAAAUCAAAGUGCUUGGGCUCCAGGGGGAG